rnacentral:tRNA from 2 species
GGGGCGGUAGCUCAGCUGGUUAGAGCAGGGGACUCAUAAUCCUCUGGCCGUGGGUUCGAGUCCCACCCGCCCCA